AGUGAGGAUUUUAACUUUCCUGAGUCUUCAGCUGAGGUCUGAAAUGUUUCCCAUAAGCCAAAGAGGACAACACAGUGUUUUCCUUGCCUGACUCAGUCCUGUAAGGCAGCUGCUACGUUGCUGAUGUGAUGUGAGCUACUGGUUCCCUGCAGGAAGUCCCUCUGCUUUUGUAGAGCACGUGUUUUUCUCUUCCCUUCCUGAGGGCUGAAGGCAAGACAGCAGAAGAGCUGCCUUUGUGUACCAAACCCAGGCUUGCAGUGAGAAGACUUUUAAAGAUGAAGCAACGUAAAAUUUAAUUGUCC